ACUCACGUACAACAGACUGUCUAACUCCGCCUCCUCAUGUUCGCUUACCACGACCAGUCUUUUCUGGCCAUCUGCCCCCUCCCUUAUCAUGAACUCGUCCCUCGAGAGUUGGACAUAGGCGCAUAAAAGUAAUGAGUUCAUUUUAAUUUUCAAGGAUUCUUGAACGUUCUUUUUAAUUGUUAAGAAAUCUCGAACUUCGGAAAUAUCAUUUCUUGAAGGAGGGAUUCUCACUAGUGCAUUUAAAAGCCUUAUUCGUCGCGUUUCCGCUACAUACGGGCCUUUCAACGCGUCUUGAGCCCAUGUGCUAUAGGCAUUUUUGUAGAUAGUCACAUUUUUUUCAACUGUCGUGGUGUUUUGGGGCGAUUCUAUAUCGAUGUGCUGAAUGAGAGUUACUUUCUCUAUAAAAUCUAUCCUCUGCACAAUCCAACUAUCAAUGAGGAGAUUCUGAACUAAGAAACCCUCUGCAAUGUCCCUUUUUAUCUCCCUUGACGCUGUUAUGUCCCCUGUAAGCAUUAUUUUGAGUAUCUUUGCCUGAUCUGUAGAGUUAGAAAGAAAUAACUCUAAAGUGACAUUUAAAACAUAUUCAAAAGCAUAGUUUUGAGUCUUGUUUUCGAGUUGCCGUUGAAGUUGCAGCAUCAGCUCCUCGAAAGAUUGUUUCCUAGAUAUGUUCAAGGCGAGUUCCGUGGUGGGAACGAGGCUGAUGUUCAGCUUGUAAAUCAGGCCCCGGAUAUUCGCCAGCGCCGUGCUGCACGUGCUGUUCUCCGAGUCCAACAACUUGCCGCCCGGGCAGGUCAGGUUGCGACACACGCCCUGCGGAAGAAAACCUGAGGUUAGGGCUGUGAAUGACAAAAUAUCUUUGCACUUUCUCUGCACUUAGAGAAGAGGCAGAGACAUCAAGGCGUCAGCGAGGGGCUGCACUGGUGUCGAUGAUGAAGAUUAGGAUGGAGGGAGCAGAAGAGUUUUUAUUUCAUUUUCUUCCUGUAUCUAUGUUCGUCGUUGGCUGGUGUGUCGGAUGUAACUGAACUCCAAGAGUGGAGGCAGCUGGGCAAAGACUGGUAUGUAUCGGGUUUCUUUGUUGGAAGCCGUGGACCUGACGCAGACACUUCAACAGCAGACUUGUAGGACUUACUGUUAUUAUUUUAACGCAUGGUUAAUCAUCUUAAUCAUUUUGCUUGUUGAUUUUUUCUAAUGGUAAAUUAUUUCUUAAACUCAUAUUUUGUUGGUGUUUACAUCUAGUUCGAAUACGUUGUAGAGCUGUACGUGACAACAGACAUAAAUAGACAGAAAGACAUGUA